ensembl:snRNA U6 U6 spliceosomal RNA
UGCUUGAGCAGUGCAUUAAAAUUGGAACAAUACAGAGAUUAGCAUGGACCCUGUGCAAGAAUAACAUGCAAAUUCAUGAAGUGUUCCAUAAUUUA